rnacentral:rRNA from 1 species
GAUGAACGCUGGCGGCGUGCCUAAUAUAUGCAAGUCGAGCGAACGGACGAGAAGCUUGCUUCUCUGAUGUUAGCGGCGGACGGGUGAGUAACACGUGGAUAACCUACCUAUAAGACUGGGAUAACUUCGGGAAACCGUAGCUAAUACCGGGUAAUAUUUUGAACCGCAUGGUUCAAAAGUGAAAGACGGUCUUGCUGUCACUUAUAGAUGGAUCCGCGCUGCAUUAGCUAGUUGGUAAGGUAACGGCUUACCAAGGCAACGAUGCAUAGCCGACCUGAGAGGGUGAUCGGCCACACUGGAACUGAGACACGGUCCAGACUCCUACGGGAGGCAGCAGUAGGGAAUCUUCCGCAAUGGGCGAAAGCCUGACGGAGCAACGCCGCGUGAGUGAUGAAGGUCUUCGGAUCGUAAAACUCUGUUAUUAGGGAAGAACAUAUGUGUAAGUAACUGUGCACAUCUUGACGGUACCUAAUCAGAAAGCCACGGCUAACUACGUG